ensembl:lncRNA
UGGAAGAUAAGCAGGAUCAAUCCUGGUUAGUACUUGUGAGACACCAGCAAGGAAUACUAGGUGCUGUAGGAUAUAUUUCAUAAGAAGAAACUGGCAGAACCACAUCUGAGUAUUCUUUGACCAAAAUAACCCUAUGAAAUUAAUGGGGUCACCAUAAGUCAAAAGAUAACCUGAAGGCACAUAUAUACACACACAAUUAUUUCACUUACACUGCCUUCCACUGUCAGACAUUUGAUGAAGAACAAGGGUUUGAUUAUACUUAAUCACACCUCUGGUGUUCCAGCCAAAAUGAAAUUGGCUUGGCUUCAGUUAGCUAUUUCUGUUCUUCUAUGUAUUGCCAAGUGAUAAGAACAUGUCUCAACAAUACAGGCAGGCAGGCAAAUAUUCUUAUCCUCUUGCAUCACAGAGGAAAUUCACAUUGGAAAGAGCCAAUACGGCUCUGGAAUCAGCAUGAUGUUAAUUAAGUCCAGCCAAGAGAUUUUCUGCCUGUUUGAACCCACCUGCCGUAAUCUUUUCCUUGCCUUCUCCUUUCUUUUCCAGCACAUGACUCAGACAGGUCGAUUAGCAAUGGACAUGGAUGACACAAAAUCUCACAAUGAGCAUGGAUUUGAUGGAUGUCUGAAUGAGUAGAUAAUAGGAACAAGUAUGGUGGAUGAGAACCAGUGUGAUGCAGUGAUUUAAACAUCAAACUACAUCUCUAGAGACCGUUGCUAACAGAUUUGAUUGAUUUGAAGGCAAACAACAACAACAACAGCAGAAGCAGCAGCAGCAGCAGCAGCAGCAGCGGAAUAUUUAUAUUUGUAACUUUCAGUGCCUUGAAUUUGUAAUGUCAUUUUGAUUACUUCUUUAAAAAUCCUAGGAUUUCCUCCAGAAUUCUGAGGCCUUUCUGUUUCCCAUGGCUUUCUUUUACAACCUUUUCUCCUAAUCUCUCUCCCAUCACCUAUUUUCAUAUCUGUGAAUUUAUCAUAGAAUCAUAGUAUCAUAGAGUUGGGAGAGACCACUUGGUCCAUCUAGUCCAACUCCCUUCUGCCAAUUGCUCUGGUGCCACAGCCGACAGAUAUUAGCCAUGUGGUGCCUAGUGGCUGCCACUAUGAUGAGAACAGGAAAGUGGCUCCUGGAGCACUAAAUCAGGCUUAGCAACACUAGAUAGUCAGGAUUCCUUCCCACCUCCCCAAUGGCCUAAGAGCUGAUGCUCUAAAACAUCCUGUGGCUGAUCCAGAUUGUAAUACUCCAAACUGGCCCUGGGGUAAGGUGUUCAUGGAGCCCCUUGUGGCACAGUAGAUUAAACUGCUGAGCUGCUGAGCUUGUUGUCCAAAAUGUCAGUGGUUUGAAUCUGGGGAAUGAGGUGAGCUCCUGCUGUUAGUCCCAGCUUCUGCUAACCUAGUAGUUUAAAAAUAUGCAAAUGUGAGUAGAUCAAUAGGUACCGCUUCAGUGGGAAGGUAACGGUGCUCCAUGCAGUCAUGCCAACCACAUAACCUUGGAGGCGUCUAUGCAAACGGCGGCUUUUCAGCUUAGACAUGGAGAUGAGCACCAACCUCCAGAGUUGAACACGAUUAGACGUAAUGUCAGGGGAAAACCUUUACCUUUACCUUAAAACCACUACACGUAUCUGUAAACCGAUUUUUUAAUUUUUUUUUUAAAUCAAGAUAUAGUGGGUGAAUGGAAUGGUCCUUGUUCACUUUGAAAGAGGGGGAGAACUUCACUUGAUUUUUUAAUCUUUCUUCAGAAGCAGGUUUAUGUUUUCACAUCUCACAUGUGCUCAAUAGAAAGAUAAAUUAUGGAGCUCUUUGUUCUGCUUGCAGAAGACUUAUUGAAAACAAUAACAGAAGUGUAUCUGUGAUCAGAAGAGUUUUGCUUAUUUCAUUAAAUGUUAAACUGGCUUUAAAUUGAAGCACUCUUACUUCACAAACUGUCACCUGAACAAAGGAAAUUUGACAUAUUUCCCUUUCAGAAGCAUAUGUAAUAAUAAUAAUAAUAAUAAUAAUAAUAAUAAUAAUAAUAAUAAUAACAACAACAACAACUUUAUUUUUAUACCCCCGCCCCAUCUCCCCGAAGGGACUCGGGGCGGCUUACAUGGGGCCUUGCCCGACACAACAGUAUAAUAAC